UACAGAGGGUGCGAGCGUUAAUCGGAAUGACUGGGCGUAAAGCGCAUGUAGGUGGUUUGAUAAGUUUGAUGUGAAAGCCCCGGGCUUAACCUGGGAACCGCGUUGAAGACUGUCAGGCUCGAGUCGAAGAGAGGGUUGUGGAAUUUCCGGUGUAGCGGUGAAAUGCGUAGAGAUCGGAAAGAACACCAGUGGCGAAGGCGGCAACCUGGCUUCAGACUGACACUGAGGUGCGAAAGCGUGGGGAGCAAACAGG
rnacentral:rRNA from 1 species